UCGGUGGAUUUCUCUCCCCUCUCUGCCUUACACACAUUUUAUUUGAAAGCAUUGAAUAAGUAGCCCAGGCUCUCGCUCAGACUUAUGGGGCUGAUGAACUACGCCCCCGCCGCAGCCAGUUUUCUCGGCACCCCAAUCCAGCCCGCUCCAGAGGACGGGCUGAGAUUCUGCUAUCACGUAGGCAGUGAGACCGGGGAGACGAGCUGCCUCCCUCGAAACCAUCAAGACAGACGUCCACGGGUUUUAGGGUGUCCCCCCUAAAGGCAAGCACAUCUGGGGCACCUCCGGCAGAUGCUCGCCCUCAGGGUCGACCAGGAGGCUGAAGCUUUGCAAGGCAUCACACUGCCUAGAGCCCAGACAAAAGCCAAUUUUACCAACCCGCAAACCCGUGGAGGCCUGCAACUUCUGUUCGCGGCACUUUGGCGCCCUCUGGCUGUAUCAGGAUUGCUUGCUUGUUCUGCCUCAUGCUGAAAGAAAAGGGGGAAUGGAAAUGUAUGUUGUCUUCUUGGUUUGAUCUACCCUCAUGAAUGGAGCUCGGAGUUGGGGUAAGCUUGCCCUGUUUUGUCAUCACGGCCAGGAUGACAAAAAAUAACCACAUUUAGGGAGACAAACGCCAAAGGAAGUGCAUUCUGCCAAAGGGAAGGAUUUCCGUGCCUUAACCUGUGAGCUGUCUUGCUUCCCAGAUAACAUUUGGCGAUGCCAUUGAGGUUGUUUUCAUGUGAGAGUUGGAGAGACGGAACUGCCAUCUAGUUGGUAGAGGGUACCCAGCCCAAAAUAUCAGUCAUGGUUAGAAUGCAGAGGCUGAGAUCUACGGUUGAGAAUUAAGUAUGACAUAGUCUACCCAGUUGCGGAAGGCAAGUGGUUUUUGUUUUGUGUUGUUUGUUGUUUGGUUGGUUUUGGUUGUUUGGUUUUGGUAGU